rnacentral:rRNA from 1 species
UACGUAGGGUGCGAGCGUUGUCCGGAAUUAUUGGGCGUAAAGAGCUUGUAGGCGGUUUGUCGCGUCUGCUGUGAAAAUCCGGGGCUCAACCCCGGACUUGCAGUGGGUACGGGCAGACUAGAGUGUGGUAGGGGAGACUGGAAUUCCUGGUGUAGCGGUGAAAAUGCGCAGGAUAUCAGGAGGAACACCGAUGGCGAAGGCAGGUCUCUGGGCCACUACUGACGCUGAGAAGCGAAAGCAUGGGGAGCGAACAGG